GACGAACGCUGGCGGCGUGCUUAACACAUGCAAGUCGAACGGAAAGGCCCUGCUUUUGUGGGGUGCUCGAGUGGCGAACGGGUGAGUAACACGUGAGUAACCUGCCCUUGACUUUGGGAUAACUUCAGGAAACUGGGGCUAAUACCGGAUAGGAGCUCCUGCUGCAUGGUGGGGGUUGGAAAGUUUCGGCGGUUGGGGAUGGACUCGCGGCUUAUCAGCUUGUUGGUGGGGUAGUGGCUUACCAAGGCUUUGACGGGUAGCCGGCCUGAGAGGGUGACCGGCCACAUUGGGACUGAGAUACGGCCCAGACUCCUACGGGAGGCAGCAGUGGGGAAUAUUGCACAAUGAGCGGAAGCCUGAUGCAGCAACGCCGCGUGCGGGAUGACGGCCUUCGGGUUGUAAACCGCUUUCGCCUGUGACGAAGCGUGAGUGACGGUAAUGGGUAAAGAAGCACCGGCUAACUACGUA
rnacentral:rRNA from 1 species